rnacentral:rRNA from 1 species
GACGAACGCUGGCGGCGUGCUUAACACAUGCAAGUCGAACGGUGAAGCGCCUUCCUUUUUGGUGGGUGUGGAUGAGUGGCGAACGGGUGAGUAACACGUGAGUAACCUGCCCCCUUCUUCUGGAUAACCGCAUGAAAGUGUGGCUAAUACGGGAUAUUCUGGGUCUGUCGCAUGAUGGGUCUGGGAAAGAUAUUGUUUCGGUGGGGGAUGGGCUCGCGGCCUAUCAGCUUGUUGGUGGGGUGAUGGCCUACCAAGGCGGUGACGGGUAGCCGGCCUGAGAGGGUGGACGGUCACACUGGGACUGAGACACGGCCCAGACUCCCACGGGAGGCAGCAGUGGGGAAUAUUGCACAAUGGGCGCAAGCCUGAUGCAGCGACGCCGCGUGAGGGAUGGAGGCCUUCGGGUUGUGAACCUCUUUCGCCAGUGAAGCAGGCCUGCCUCGUUUGUGGGUGGGUUGACGGUAGCUGGAUAGGAAGCGCCGGCUAACUACGUG